UCCGACCUCAGAUCGGACGAGAUUACCCGCUGAAUUUAAGCAUAUAACUAAGCGGAGGAAAAGAAACUAACAACGAUUCCCA
rnacentral:rRNA from 1 species